AGCGAACAUUGGCGGUAGGCUUAACACAUGCAAGUCGAGCGAGGCGUAAUAGUCGAGCGGCGAACGGGUGAGUAAUACAUGGGAAUCUACCUCGAAGUGGGGGAUAACGUUCAGAAAUGGACGCUAAUACCGCAUAAUCCGGGAACGGGAAAGCGCGCUGCGCUUUGAGAUGAGCCCAUGGCUGAUUAGCUAGUUGGUGGGGUAAAGGCCUACCAAGGCGACGAUCAGUAGCUGGUCUGAGAGGAUGAUCAGCCACACUGGAACUGAGACACGGUCCAGACUCCUACGGGAGGCAGCAGUGGGGAAUCUUGCGCAAUGGGGGCAACCCUGACGCAGCCAUACCGCGUGUGUGAUGAAGGUCUUCGGAUUGCAAAGCACUUCCAGUAGGGACGACGAUGACGGUACCUACAGAAGAAGUCACGGCUAACUUCGUGCCAGCAGCCGCGGUAA
rnacentral:rRNA from 1 species